rnacentral:rRNA from 1 species
GACGAACGCUGGCGGCGUGCUUAACACAUGCCAGUCGAACGGAAAGGCCCUGCUUUUGUGGGGUGCUCGAGUGGCGAACGGGUGAGUAACACGUGAGUAACCUGCCCUUGACUUUGGGAUAACUUCAGGAAACUGGGGCUAAUACCGGAUAGGAGCUCCUGCUGCAUGGUGGGGGUUGGAAAGUUUCGGCGGUUGGGGAUGGACUCGCGGCUUAUCAGCUUGUUGGUGGGGUAGUGGCUUACCAAGGCUUUGACGGGUAGCCGGCCUGAGAGGGUGACCGGCCACAGUGAGACUGGGGAGGGGCCAACGAUGCGAGGGGAGGGGGGAGGGGGGAAAAGCACGCGAGGCGGGGGAGCCUGGUGCAGCAGCGGGGUGGGCGGCGGGGCGGCCUGGGGGGUGUAACCCGUGGCCGCGGGGGAGGAAGAGGGGGUGAGGGUAAGGGGAAAAGAAGCAGCGGCAACCAGCGUGACAGCAGAGCCGGUAACACGCGGACCACCACACUGUCGAAC